CCAGGAAUUUCCUUAGCAACGGUCACCGUUGAGACGAGGGAGACGCCGCCAGCGGAUUGGCUCCCCCGGGCAUCUCUGCAACGCAAAUUGGCUGGAGCGUCGAUAGAGGGCCAGGCCUUGGCAGUGGCUGCCUGAGAACCGGCUGUCCCGGAACCGAGGCAAGACAGAUCCUGUGGUGACCCCCAGCCAAGAGAGCGACAAGAUGAUCCGCCGGAAGUUCAGCCAAUUCCAGGGACUAAAAAUGCAGUCGGAGCUUGUACAGCACUACGAACUGCGGCGAGAACCCGAAAAAGACCUCAGCUCAUUGGAUGAAUCGGCCACGCGUAUGGGAACAGGUGUGCGGACCGAAUCCGGGACCGUGGCUUCGGUGGAUGUCGAUAACGAUCCUUCAGCCAACUUGUUCCCGCCGCCACUGCCCCAGCCCCGGAUCUGUAUAUGGAAGUACCUGGACAUCCAUUCCAUGCACAUGCUGGAGAAGACAACCAGCACUGAGGAGAUGAGGGAGGUGCUGGCCAAGCUGUUGGGACUAGGUUCUCCUGAGAAGAGCCUGCAGGAUGCCAUCACUCUGGACCUCUUCUCCCAUGCACUCAUCUUCUGCCGCCAGCAGGGCUUCUCCCUGGAGCAGACCUCAACAGCUUGUGCCCUGCUCCAAGAUCUUCACAAGGCCUGUAUUGAAACCCCCUUGGGCAACGUGGAGGAAUGUUACCGCUACUUCACCAGUGUUCUUUUUUGCCAUGGAGUCAGGCGCCCCCCUUUCAGUAUCGACCUCUUUAAGGAGGAACAGCUGCUGGCCCUGGCGGAUUAUGUGGUGAAUACCUAUUUCCGCCACUUCAAGCUCUACAAAUAUGUCUUCACACCCCAGGUGCGGCUGGAUCUCUCUUUGACUUACAUGGGGCUAAAGCCACCCAGCCUCUGGUCAGAGGAUGAGACAGAGAAAGAAAAGGGAGGAGAGGUGGAACAGCAGGCAGUCAUCGCACAGGAGGUGGAACCGGAAACAGUGGUCCAGCCAAAGCCAGAGCCAAAAGGGCUGGCUGACAUUUCCUGAAUUGAAGAAACACUGCCACCUGGGUCACUCCUGGGGUAGUUCCCCUUGAAGGCCAGGUCUCCAUCCUCCGAGCCUACAUCAAGAACCAGAUGAACAAGGAGCUGCGGCAGCUCCAACAACUGGUGGAGGAGCGGCUCAAAGCCAGUGAGGAAAGGCUCAGCAGCAAGCUGACCAUCCUCGAGCGGCCCCUCCAGCUACCUCCAGGCAAAGGCAAGAACAAGACCAAGUGACUCCCUGCGUUUUCCCCAAUAAAGGCCUGGGCCAAAGUGGCCCCACCAUG